UACGUAGGUGGCAAGCGUUGUCCGGAUUUAUUGGGCGUAAAGCGCGCGCAGGCGGCUAUGUAAGUCUGAUGUUAAAGCCCGAGGCUCAACCUCGGUUCGCAUUGGAAACUGUGUAGCUUGAGUGCAGAAGAGGAAAGCGGUAUUCCACGUGUAGCGGUGAAAUGCGUAGAUAUCUGCAGGAACACCCGUGGCGAAGGCGGCUGGCUGGACCGCAACUGACGCUGAGGCGCGAAAGCUAGGGGAGCAAACGGG
rnacentral:rRNA from 1 species